GAUGAGUCAGUUGGUUAGAGCAUGGUGCUAAUAACACCAAGUUGCGGGUUCGAAUCCCGUACG
rnacentral:tRNA from 1 species